GGCAGGCCUAAUACAUGCAAGUCGAACGGGAUCCAGAUCAAAGCUUGCUUCCUAUGCCGGCGAGUGGCGGACGGGUGAGGAGCACAUCGGAAUCUACUCCGUCGUGGGGGAUAACGUAGGGAAACUUACGCUAAUACCGCAUACGACCUAAGGGUGAAAGUGGGGGACCGCUAGGCCUCACGCGAUGGAAUGAGCCGAUGUCCGAUUAGCUAGUUGGCGGGGUAAAGGCCCACCAAGGCGACGAUCGGUAGCUGGUCUGAGAGGAUGAUCAGCCACACUGGGACUGAGACACGGCCCAGACUCCUACGGGAGGCAGCAGUGGGGAAUAUUGGACAAUGGGCGAAAGCCUGAUCCAGCCAUGCCGCGUGGGUGAAGAAGGCCUUCGGGUUGUAAAGCCCUUUUGUUGGGGAAGAAAUCCUGCUGGCUAAUACCCGGCGGGGAUGACGGUACCCAAAGAAUAAGCACCGACUAACUUCGUGCCAGCAGCCGCGGUAAU
rnacentral:rRNA from 1 species